ensembl:lncRNA
GCACAGUCUUUGGUAAAAAAAAUAAAGUCAAUCAAGCGCUUCCUGUAGCCAACGACGAGCUUCCUAUAACCAUCAAUGAGCUUCCUCCACCUCUGUACUGGCAGUUUGGCCCACUCCCCUUGUGCAAACUGCUACAGCAUCACACUACAAUCCAUGCUACAGCAUCACACUACAAUCCAUGCUAAAAUGUGGGAUUUUGUCAUAUGCGAAAAUGUGCCUUUUUAAAACGUUGUCUAACGUUAGUUAGUAGCCUUGUCAAGGAUGACAUAUUGGGACACAACACUUUAUAGACCCGGUGGAACUAAAGUAAAUCUUGAAUUUGGAGGUUUAUGAUCUUUAAUAUGCUGAUUAGCAUAGGGCUAACGUGUGCCAGGUUAUCUGAUGGGUCCAGCUGGUGAGAUUAGCAUAGGUCUGCCAUGUUACCUGAUGGGACCAGCGGGUGAGAUUAGCAUAGGGCUAACGUGUGCCAGGUUAUCUGAUGGGACCAGCUGGUGAGAUUAGCAUAGGGCUAACGUCUGCCAUGUUACCUGAUGGGACCAGCUGGUGAGAUUAGCAUAGGGCUAACGUGUGCCAGGUUAUCUGAUGUGACCAGCUGGUGAGAUUAGCAUAGGGCUAACGUGUGCCAGGUUACCUGAUGGGACCAGCUGGUGAGAUUAGCAUAGGGCUAACGUCUGCCAGGUUAUCUGAUGGGACCAGCUGGUGAGAUUAGCAUAGGGCUAACGUCUGCCAUGUUACCUGAUGGGACCAGCGGGUGAGAUUAGCAUAGGGCUAACGUGUGCCAGGUUAUCUGAUGGGACCAGCUGGUGAGAUUAGCAUAGGGCUAACGUCUGCCAUGUUACCU